UCUACGGGCGGCUGCAGUGGGGAAUAUUGGACAAUGGGCGAAAGCCUGAUCCAGCCAUGCCGCGUGUGUGAAGAAGGCCUUCGGGUUGUAAAGCACUUUCAGUGGGGAAGAAAGCCUUGGGGCUAAUACCCUCGAGGAAGGACAUCACCCACAGAAGAAGCACCGGCUAACUCCGUGCCAGCAGCCGCGGUAAUACGGAGGGUGCGAGCGUUAAUCGGAAUUACUGGGCGUAAAGCGCGCGUAGGCGGUCUGAUAAGCCGGUUGUGAAAGCCCCGGGCUCAACCUGGGAACGGCAUCCGGAACUGUCAGGCUAGAGUGCAGGAGAGGAAGGUAGAAUUCCCGGUGUAGCGGUGAAAUGCGUAGAGAUCGGGAGGAAUACCAGUGGCGAAGGCGGCCUUCUGGACUGACACUGACGCUGAGGUGCGAAAGCGUGGGUAGCAAACAGGAUUAGAUACCCGAGUAGUC
rnacentral:rRNA from 1 species